CCAGACUCCUACGGGAGGCAGCAGUGGGGGAUAUUGCACAAUGGGGGGAACCCUGAUGCAGCGACGCCGCGUGGGUGAAGGAGUGCUUCGGCAUGUAAAGCCCUAUCGGCAGGGAAGAAGCAAGACGGUACCUGACUAAGAAGCCCCGGCUAACUACGUGCCAGCAGCCGCGGUAAUACGUAGGGGGCGAGCGUUAUCCGGAUUCACUGGGUGUAAAGGGGGCGCAGACGGCGAUGCAAGCCAGGAGUGAAAGCCCGGGGCCCAACCCCGGGACUGCUCUUGGAACUGCGUGGCUAGAGUGCAGGAGGGGCAGGCGGAAUUCCUGGUGUAGCGGUGAAGUGCGUAGAUAUUAGGAGGAACACCAGUGGCGAAGGCGGUCAACUGGACAGCAACUGACGCUGAGGCGCGAAAGCGUGGGGAGCAAACAGGAUUAGAUACCCGGGUAGC
rnacentral:rRNA from 1 species